rnacentral:snRNA from 1 species
UACUAAAUUUCAGCAGUCCAUUUAUAAAAUUCAAACAAUACAGAGAAGGUUAGCAUGGCCCCUGCACAAGGAUAACAUGCAAAUUCACAUAGCAUUCCAUCUUUUU